rnacentral:ribozyme from 18 species
CAAUGAAAAAAAAGGGAGAUCAAGAGAGAGAGUGAAAUGGAGAGCAAGCGCGUCGUUUGUUUGUUCGUUCAUCAUUUCUUUUUGUUCAUUCAUUUCCUUU